UUGGCGUGGUGCGACAGCUUGCGUACCCCAGUGACCCUCGGAGCUAUGCCGGCUGGAGCCUUGUGCUCCUGGUAGGGCCACCCAUGCCGGACAGGUCUGUGCAGGGUAGGGGUCAGACAAAGAGGUGCACACACUGGUCCUCCAGGUCGGAGGUUCGGCUUGGGACUAACGACCCCAUCUGGUAAAAAUUGACGCGUUACAGAACACCGGGAAUUUGUGAAAGAGAGAAGGACAUUGUUUCACAAACCCUCCAGGAGUCAAACCUGCAACUUUGCUGCUCAGGACCUUCACUCCCAUCCUCUGAAGCUGAAGAGGACAAGAUCCGACCACCUCCUCCUCCUCCACUCGCAGGCUUCCUCUCACUGAAGGCCCACUUCAGACGAGCAAAGACGCCACAGACGGGCGUCCUCGCCGUCGUGUGCAUGCAGACGGUCACCCGGAGAUAAAAGGGGAGAUUGGCAGCUCUGAGUGGCCAGCAGAUGAAGCGGCUGGCACGCUAAUGAAUAGAACGCUGAUUGCAGGAUCCCCAAGAUGCAAAUUAUUGUGCCUGCCACCCCUGACGACCGGCAAUUACCGGGCCGCCACGGCGGACGCCUCGUGCAUAUUCAUUGCUCCUGCUGGGCAUAUUGAUCAACAACUUACUUCGAGCAAGAAGCACAGAAACGUAUCACGUAGCUAAGUAAAAAAAAAAUAUAUAUACAGUAUAUAUAUAAAAAAAUAAUAAAACUUUGCUUAUUGUCAAAAAUGACACCGUGAUAUCGAGUAGGACAAUCCCUUUAAUUACGCGAGGAGUAUUUAUUUUAAUCAGAACCAGGUAUGGGCUAAUUGAUAAUGUGUCACAUUCAAGAAGUGACAAAAUAUGCCAUUCAUUGGAAAAUUGUCUUAAUUCAAAUAUGAAUUACCACACAUGCUUUAACUAAUUAACUGUAUUUAACGUUUACUGCCCUUCCGGAAUGACAUGCAGCUUUAAGUUUUGCCUUAUGACAAAUAUUCCAGUUUUUAUAGACUCAUUUUUUGCAUAUAAGUGAAAGAAGGGUUGACUUGAUAAACUCUUAAGCAUCUAAAGUCUAUGAUAUUAUUUCACAGUUGGACAGUCUUUUCUGGCCUCACACCAAACUCCAUUGAGAAAAUCCAAAAUUUUUCACCACAGCUCAAUAAGAGUUGUUAAUCCAAUAUUGUCUCCAUCAAAAAGUUCAAAUGUAAGAUACUGUCACUUCAGUGUUUUGAAUCCUUUGUUUGGAUUUACCUAAGUGACACAAAUGUGCCAGAACAAGGCAGCAGGAGACCAGCAGCUCCUGUGCUCCCAUGAGCUAAAAAUGCUGAUUUUCUCUAUGGACACUGGUGCGACAGUAAGAAAGAGUGCUUUACAAAACUUCAGUUUUAGCA